rnacentral:rRNA from 1 species
AUUGAACGCUGGCGGCAUGCUUUACACAUGCAAGUCGAACGGUAACAGGCCGCAAGGUGCUGACGAGUGGCGAACGGGUGAGUAAUGCAUCGGAACGCGCCCAGUCGUGGGGGAUAACGCAGCGAAAGCUGUGCUAAUACCGCAUACGAUCUAUGGAUGAAAGCGGGGGACCGUAAGGCCUCGCGCGAUUGGAGCGGCCGAUGUCAGAUUAGGUAGUUGGUGGGGUAAAGGCCUACCAAGCCGACGAUCUGUAGCUGGUCUGAGAGGACGACCAGACACACUGGGGCUGAGACACGGCCCAGACUCCUACGGGAGGCAGCAGUGGGGAAUUUUGGACAAUGGGCGCAAGCCUGAUCCAGCAAUGCCGCGUGCAGGAAGAAGGCCUUCGGGUUGUAAACUGCUUUUGUACGGAACGAAACGGUCUGGGUUAAUACCCUGGGCUAAUGACGGUACCGUAAGAAUAAGCACCGGCUAACUACGUGCCAGCCGCCGCCGCCGUAA